GAAAUCUGAAGAAUGCUUAGGCCCUACUCAGCAAAACCAUCAGUUUGGGUUUGGAGAAGAAAUGUCAAAGACGUCUUGUGAGAACUUGAAGACAUGAGCAGACGAGAGUGCCUUGCAAGUCCCACUGAUGUGCUUUGUGCGUCUGACCAGAAACCACUGCAGUGAUGCUUGACAUGAUUAUUCCUCAUCCAUUGCCUGGUAAUACAGUGGAGGAACUUUGUAAGACUGUCUGCCAGCCUGCCACCCUGCCACCCUGCCCAGCCCUCACCCACCAAAUACAUCACAAGAUGAAGGAGUAGACGAGACUGCCUUGCGAAUCCCACUGAUGUGCUUUGUGCAUCUGACCAGAAACCACUGCAGUGAGGCUUGACAUGGUUAUCCCUCAUUCAUUGCCUGGUAAUACAGUGGAGAAACGUUGUAAGACUGUCUGCCAGCCUGCCACUCUGCCCAGCCCUCACCCAAAACAAUCACAAGAUCAAGAAUGAGCUCCUGCUGUUGACGGACCUACACCAGGCUGUGCAGUGACUGCUGACCAAUAAGGGUUGAAAGGACGGGUAGAGGAGUGGAGGUGGACAUGGAGCCCUUUGUGUUCGA